UCCUGUGCCUCGAAUGGGUAUG
rnacentral:miRNA from 1 species